GGAGAAAAGCAGGGGAUCGAAAGACCUUGCGCUUUUGGAGCGGCCGAUGUCUGAUUAGCUAGUUGGUGAGGUAAAGGCUUACCAAGGCGUCGAUCAGUAGCUGGUCUGAGAGGACGACCAGCCACACUGGGACUGAGACACGGCCCAGACUCCUACGGGAGGCAGCAGUGGGGAAUUUUGGACAAUGGGGGAAACCCUGAUCCAGCCAUGCCGCGUGAGUGAAGAAGGCCUUCGGGUUGUAAAGCUCUUUCAGCCGGAACGAAACGGUCACGGUUAAUACCCGUGACUACGGACGGUACCGGAAGAAGAAGCACCGGCUAACUACGUGCCAGCAGCCGCGGUAAUACGUAGGGUGCAAGCGUUAAUCGGAAUUACUGGGCGUAAAGCGUGCGCAGGCGGUUUUGUAAGUCAGAUGUGAAAUCCCCGGGCUUAACCUGGGAACUGCGUUUGAAACUACAAGGCUAG
rnacentral:rRNA from 1 species